ACACUAGGGGUGCCUAAAAUCGGCUGAGAAUAUACCCUUAACCUGAUCCAGGUAAUGCUGGCGGAGGUAAGUGCCAAU
rnacentral:ncRNA from 1 species